rnacentral:rRNA from 1 species
ACUCCUACGGGAGGCAGCAGUGGGGAAUAUUGCACAAUGGGGGAAACCUUGAUGCAGCCAUGCCGCGUGUGUGAAGAAGGCCUUCGGGUUGUAAAGCACUUUCAGUAGGGAGGAAGGUAGUGUAGUUAACACCUGCAUUAUUUGACGUUACCUACAGAAGAAGCACCGGCUAACUCCGUGCCAGCAGCCGCGGUAAUACGGAGGGUGCGAGCGUUAAUCGGAAUUACUGGGCGUAAAGCGCAUGCAGGUGGUUUGUUAAGUCAGAUGUGAAAGCCCGGGGCUCAACCUCGGAAUUGCAUUUGAAACUGGCAGACUAGAGUACUGUAGAGGGGGGUAGAAUUUCAGGUGUAGCGGUGAAAUGCGUAAGAGAUCUGAAGGAAUACCGGUGGCGAAGGCGGCCCCCUGGACAGAUACUGACACUCAGAUGCGAAAGCGUGGGGAGCAAAACAGGAUUAGAUACCCUGGUAGGAUAGCG